rfam:Vavraia culicis subsp. floridensis unplaced genomic scaffold supercont1.1, whole genome shotgun sequence.
GCUCUGGUAGCUUAAUGGCUAAAGCGUCUGACUUCUAAUCAGGAGAGUCCGGGUUCGAGUCCUGGCCGGAGCG